rnacentral:rRNA from 1 species
GACGAACGCUGGCGGCGUGCCUAAUACAUGCAAGUAGAACGCUGAAGACUUUAGCUUGCUAAAGUUGGAAGAGUUGCGAACGGGUGAGUAACGCGUAGGUAACCUGCCUACUAGCGGGGGAUAACUAUUGGAAACGAUAGCUAAUACCGCAUAACAGCAUUUAACCCAUGUUAGAUGCUUGAAAGGAGCAAUUGCUUCACUAGUAGAUGGACCUGCGUUGUAUUAGCUAGUUGGUGAGGUAACGGCUCACCACCGACGACGAUACAUAGCCGACCUGAGAGGGUGAUCGGCCACACUGGGACUGAGACACGGCCCAGACUCCUACGGGAGGCAGCAGUAGGGAAUCUUCGGCAAUGGGGGCAACCCUGACCGAGCAACGCCGCGUGAGUGAAGAAGGUUAUCGGAUCGUAAAGCUCUGUUGUAAGAGAAGAACGUGUGUGAGAGUGGAAAGUUCACACUGUGACGGUAACUUAGCACAA